AACAAGUGGACGUGCCGGAGUGGUUAUCG
rnacentral:sRNA from 1 species